rnacentral:misc_RNA from 1 species
UAUAUUUUUAAUAGCGCCUGAUUUCGUUCCUGCUGAUGUAUAAUAGCACAGUUAUGCAUUAGCGUUGCUAUUUACUUUUUCUAGGCGACUGAUUUAAUUUUGGAAUACCCUCGUAUUGUACUGCGUCGCGGUGCACCUUAGGGGGUAGUUGUGUCGCGACGCGCGGGGGGUUUGCUAGGGUAUAUAAGCCUCAGGGCGAGUGUUGCGGGGCCUCUUUUUUUGGUUUGGAUUCUCUCGCCGUCUUGGGAUCUAGCUGCGAUUUGUUGUGGGUGAGUCAUUGUAGUUCUUAGGUAUAAGCUUUGCUUUAGUGUAGUUGAUUUUGUGAGUUUAAAAAAAAAUUAAUUAAUAUUCUGUAGGAUUUUUUUACUCUCUCUCUUGUUGUCUCGUGUUAGGAAUUGUGGGUGACGCUCUAACCCAGCAAGCAAUUUUU